GAUGAACGCUGGCGGCGUGCUUAACACAUGCAAGUCGGACGAAGCAUUUAGGACAGAUUACUUCGGUUUGAAGUUCUUUAUGACUGAGUGGCGGACGGGUGAGUAACGCGUGGGUAACCUGCCUUGUACUGGGGGAUAGCAGCUGGAAACGGCUGGUAAUACCGCAUAAGCGCACAAUGUUGCAUGACAUGGUGUGAAAAACUCCGGUGGUAUAAGAUGGACCCGCGUCUGAUUAGCUAGUUGGUGAGAUAACAGCCCACCAAGGCGACGAUCAGUAGCCGACCUGAGAGGGUGACCGGCCACAUUGGGACUGAGACACGGCCCAGACUCCUACGGGAGGCAGCAGUGGGGAAUAUUGCACAAUGGAGGAAACUCUGAUGCAGCGACGCCGCGUGAGUGAAGAAGUAAUUCGUUAUGUAAAGCUCUAUCAGCAGGGAAGAUAGUGACGGUACCUGACGAAGAAGCUCCGGCUAAAUACGUG
rnacentral:rRNA from 1 species